rnacentral:piRNA from 1 species
UGAAAGUGCUACUGUUCUAGAACAAUCUAU